GGUAGCGUGGCCGAGUGGUCUAAGGCGCUCGUUUUAGGCACCAGUUUCUUCGGAGGCGUGGGUUCGAAUCCCACCGCUGCCA
rfam:Ixodes scapularis strain Wikel colony gcontig_1108379549137, whole genome shotgun sequence.